rnacentral:tRNA from 1 species
AGAAAAUAAGAUAAUAAAGUAGCUGCUAACUAUAUUUAUAAGCGGUUUAAUUCCGUUUUUUUCUU